UACGUAGGGUGCAAGCGUUGUCCGGAAUUAUUGGGCGUAAAGAGCUCGUAGGCGGUUUGUCGCGUCUGCUGUGAAAAACCCGAGGCUCAACCUCGGGCCUGCAGUGGUUACGGGCAGACUAGAGUGCGGUAGGGGAGAUUGGAAUUCCUGGUGUAGCGGUGGAAUGCGCAGAUAUCAGGAGGAACACCAAUGGCGAAGGCAGAUCUCUGGGCCGUAACUGACGCUGAGGAGCGAAAGCAUGGGGAGCGAACAGG
rnacentral:rRNA from 1 species